rnacentral:snRNA from 1 species
CUAUCUAUCUAUCUAUCUAUCUAUAUUAAAUUGAUUUUUGGAUCUGGGAGAUGGAAUAGGGGCUUGCUCCGUCCACUCCGCGUAUCGACCUGGUAUUGCAGUACCUCCAGGAACGGUGC